rnacentral:rRNA from 1 species
GAUGAACGCUAGCUACAGGCUUAACACAUGCAAGUCGAGGGGAAACGGCAUUUAGUGCUUGCACUGAAUGGACGUCGACCGGCGCACGGGUGAGUAACGCGUAUCCAACCUACCCAUUACUGUGGGAUAACCUGCCGAAAGGCAGACUAAUACCGCAUAGUCUUCGAUGACGGCAUCAGAUUUGAAGUAAAGAUUUAUCGGUAAUGGAUGGGGAUGCGUCUGAUUAGCUUGUUGGCGGGGUAACGGCCCACCAAGGCGACGAUCAGUAGGGGUUCUGAGAGGAAGGUCCCCCACAUUGGAACUGAGACACGGUCCAAACUCCUACGGGAGGCAGCAGUGAGGAAUAUUGGUCAAUGGGCGCGAGCCUGAACCAGCCAAGUAGCGUGCAGGAUGACGGCCCUAUGGGUUGUAAACUGCUUUUGUAUGGGGACAAAGUCAAUCACGUGUGAUUGUUUGCAGGUACCAUACGAAUAAGGACCGGCUAAUUCCGUGCCAGCAGCCGCGGUAAUACGGAAGGUCCGGGCGUUAUCCGGAUUUAUUGGGUUUAAAGGGAGCGUAGGCCGGAGAUUAAGUGUGUUGUGAAAUGUAGACGCUCAACGUCUGACUUGCAGCGCAUACUGGUUUCCUUGAGUACGCACAACGUUGGCGGAAUUCGUCGUGUAGCGGUGAAAUGCUUAGAUAUGACGAAGAACUCCGAUUGCGAAGGCAGCUGACGGGAGCGCAACUGACGCUUAAGCUCGAAGGUGCGGGUAUCGAACAGG